UCCAAGUUGGUGUAGUGGAUAACAUUCGAGAUUCUCAUUCUCGGGCCCGGGGUUCGAUUCCCCGACUUGGAG